rnacentral:miRNA from 1 species
GUUUCUCUGUAUAGCCCUGGCUGUCCUGGAACUCACUCUGUAGACCAGGCUGGCCUUGAACUCAGAAAUUCGCCUGCCUCUGCCUCCCAAGUGCUGGGACUAAAGGCAUGCACCACCAACUGCCCG